rnacentral:rRNA from 1 species
AUACGGAGGGUGCAAGCGUUACUCGGAAUCACUGGGCGUAAAGCGCGCGCAGGCGGCUAUUUAAGUUGGAUGUGAAAGCCUAUGGCUCAACCAUAGAAUUGCAUCCAAAACUAUUUAGCUAGAGUGUGGGAGAGGAAGAUGGAAUUAGUUGUGUAGGGGUAAAAUCCGUAGAGAUAACUAGGAAUACCAAAAGCGAAGGCAAUCUUCUGGAACACUACUGACGCUGAGGCGCGAAAGCGUGGGGAGCAAACAGGAUUAGAAACCCUAGUAGUCC